CACUGAAGUAUAACUCAGUUUCCUGUGGGCCUAGCAAAUACACAAUUCCUUUAGUUCUACUCAUUUAUUUGGGAAUAGGGGAAUACUUACUCAGGAUUUGAGAGAGGACAUUUCACAUUGGAUAUGUUGGUCUUCGCCUUGGCGUUCAUCUCUGUUUCAGCCACUGGUAGGACUGAUCAUUAGAGACCUCUGGGUAUCAAGCCCCAUUGGUCCGGACAGGUGAUUUUGGACAAUCCAGCUACCUAAUCACUGAAGAACACCUGAGAUUCCUGCUUUCAUGUGGAUUUGUAACUACGCAAAUUGCUGAAAUCCUGGAUGUAUCAGUCAGUAUUUAAACGAAGAUUGAGGCGCUUCAACUUGUCCUACCUGAUGAGGUAUGAACGUCUUUCUAAUGCAGAACUUGAAGUGGUCCGGCAGUUGGUUGGAGAAAAUGAAGAGAUCGGAGCAAAUGCUGUUUUGGCCAGACUAGCUGCUAUGGGUGUUCGAGUGCAUAGAAGAGCGAGAGCGAGUUUGAUUCGAGUGGAUCCGCACAAAGCGCAUUGUCUCACCGAUUGUACCGGAGAACCUACAGUGUUGCAGGACCCAACUGGCUGUGGCACAUAGAUGGGAACCACAAGCUCAUCAGAUGGAGAAUAGUGAUCCAUGGUGGAAUCUGUGGCUUCAGCAGGCUGGUUGUUUUUGCAGGCUUCAAAUAAUAACAGAAGUAGCACAGUGUUUGACCAGUUUGUUCAAGCUACUGCUAGGUAUGGGGUACCGUCUCGAAUAAGGUGUGACCAUGGGGUAGAAAACAAUGCUGUUUGCUUGUUCAUGAAAAUUUACCAUGGAUUAGAAAGAGGAAGUGCCAUCCGGGGCAGAAGUGUCCAUAACCAGGGAAUUGAGAGGCUUUGGGGAGAUCUCUGGAGAGGUAUGACUAAUGUGUACCACCAGCUUUUCACCUUCCUUGAAAAUGAUGGAAUCAUUGACCGUACCAAUGAGCUGCACUCGUGGGCACUGCAUUGUUUACCUCGGAUUAAACGGGACCUGGAAGUUUUCAGGGAACAAUGGAACAACCAUGGCUUGCGCACUGUUGGCCACCACACACCAUAUCAGAUAUUUGUCCAAGGAUGUCUUCAGAGGCAUAUGCAACCACUCACAGCCAUGGCAGAGAUUUUUGAAUCCAACACUGCUCAAGUUGCUGCUGCUGCAGUUCCUGCUCUGAAUUGGCAAGAAAGAGUAACCGUUCCUGCUAACCAAUUCAGUCCAAGACCUGCACAGAUGCAUCAACUCCAAGAUGUGGACACUCUGGCAGGACCGAUUGGUAGUCUAGCCAUAGAUCCACUCCAAUGUAAUUGAAAUUUUGAAACAGUAAUUUUUUUUUGUCCAUGCCUCUGUAUUGUUCCCUUGUUUCUUUGUAUCUCUCUCCCACCGGAGGGACCAGUUAGUCUCUCUGUGUCAGCUAGAUGAGAUACUGGUCCAAAAGGCAACGGUAGACCAGACCGCUCAACUGCUGUGGAGGGGACUGCACUCUAAUCCAGGGGAUAAUGAAUCCCCUGGGGAAAGGGAGGGUUAGAUGCCGUGAUUACACAGUUACUAGGUCAGUUGUAGAACACAGGACCUCCUCCAGCUGAUGGAGAGAUCUCUUCUCUCCCAUCUGUCAGUAUGAAAUGUGACUGGGCUGCAAGACAAAUUGACUAAACUGACAGCAAGUGUCUGAUUGCAGGUGGGAGAAACUCCGUUUAGAGACAAAAGUGAGUGGAGCUUAUUAACUUUACGUCCUAUAAAUGUAGCUAAUGUUACGUAGCAUUAUUAGUGACUCCUUUUGCUGUUGAUGCUGCUAUUAUUAGUGUAGAUGCAGAUACAUGUUGAACUAUGCACUUUACAAUGCUCCAACCACACCUCUCUGCCUUACAGAAAUAGAUCUGCUCUUUUUUUUUUUUUUUUUUUUUUUGUCCUAUCUAGUGUAGUUAUUGUGUUGUCUUGAAAGUUGAUUAUUUUGUGAUCUUGUUUUUAGCGCCAUGGACCUUGAGGAACAACAUUUCGUUAAUGUAUGUACUCUGUAUAUUGAUAAAUGACAAUAAACAAACUUUAACUAGUAGCCAAAGAUGUACUGUUAGCUUUCCAUUUCAGUAUUCAGACCCGAGUCUGCAGCCCAGGGGAGAUGUUUGGGGGACACUCUGACCUACACUGUACAUUUACUGCCACACUGACAACUUAUUGCUCAUAUUUUCCUCUGGUGCUCUUGCUUUCAGUCAUUUUCUGCUGCCUGUCACAUAGGUGUCCUUUGAAGAAUGAGGAGAGGUAGCUAGCCAAUUGUUGAAUGUUACCGUGCUUGCACAGUGUGCGAGAAAUCAUUAGUUGCUUUUUUUUUUUUUUUUAUAUACAGUCUGUUAGUUGCACUUUUAUAAUAAUCGCUUUAAAAUUCAAAGCGGCGAUGUGCCAAAUAGGGGGAACAAUGUUAUGUGCACUCCACCAACUGUCUGGCGCUGCACUGUGCACUUCAGAGUACUGCCUCUUUUGUUCUGUCAUCAUUAAGUUACCAAUUAACAUUUAGGAAAUCGAUUUGUGACUAGUUUCAGAAUCAUCCGCAUUGCAUCAAAGUAUUGAUUUAUUUACUUAUUUUCCCCCCACCCCUUCUAACCACAGGGGUAUUGAUAAACAUUUAUUUUUCUCCUGUAGACUGCUGUAUGGAAUGUCCAGUGCACAGAGAGAACUUUGCAGUGGGAGAGCCAGUCAGACAGCUACCCUGUAACCACUUCUUUCAUUCAGAAUGGCUGGAAAUGGUGUGUCAUAACAAAGAGUUGAGCUUUUGUAAAAUAAACUCCCAAAACAGAUCCUUAAUGACAUUUAGUACUUUAUGAUAUUCACAGUGCUCAUUCAGGUAUUAGGACCUAAAGGAAUUUUGAACAUGCUUUGGCUACCUGGUAGAAACAUUUAUGUGGGGUCGACUCAAAAUAAGUUAAUGACACCGAACAAUAAGCUCUUAUAAAGAAUUUUGCCAGCUUUACCUUUUAGAAUUGCCUUAAAGUAAUGUCAAAUUACAAUCAACUAUACAUUAUUAGAUGCUAAAUGCAGAAUUGGAUCACCCAUGCUGAAGUUGCCCUACUAUAGCAGUCAUUGAACAUUAGCAGUGGGGGAUUUUGCUGAGGUAUUUUUGACUUGCCAGACAAUGGUCAAAGAACAGCCUGAGCAUUGUGUGAAAUGGGACUAAAAGGAGUCGUCCACUUGUUCUCUCUUGUGAGAGAACUGCCAAAAGCUAAUGUAAUCUAUAUUCUGUUCUAUGGCCACAUAGCAUGUCCAGUGUGUAGGAAGUGGUGGUGGCUUAGUGUACUAAAGCACAUAACUGUUAAUCAGAAGGUUGCUGGUUCGAUCCCCACAGCCACCACCAUUGUGUCCUUGAGCAAGACACUUAAUCAAAGUUGCUCCAGGGGGGAUUGUCUCUGUAAUAAGUGCACUGUAAGUCGCUUUGGAUAAAAGCAUACAGACGUCAUAACAGUAGGUUGUUCAAGCCCAUGUCUUCUCAAUUUUCACCUCUGCAACUCCUCUUUCUUGAAAUGCACUGCUGCAAUACGCUAUUGUGUGGAAAUGCCAGACUUUGUCAUACCAUGUCCUCUUUACACAUCAGAAAAUUAGCUAAAUCCUGCAAUUGAACCCUCUACGGCAUAUGGGAUGGCUGUAGGGGUUACUUUCACUCUUGGUAUUUACAGGGUCUGGACCUAACAAUAUGAACACAAUAUAGCCCUGCAAUAAAUGUUAUGUUUAUGAAGGAUAUAAUUAUAUAUUUUGUUUGAGAUUAUGACCGGAAGAUUGAUCUCUGGUUAUUUAUUCUGGUGGUGUUUUAUUGGAUUGCAUUAUAUACCCAUGGGCCAAUGACUGGUUGAUGGGCAAUUGAUGGGGUAUCUUUAAAAUUUUAUGUUUACGAAAUAAACCUUUCUC